GUGACUAGCAAACAACUCAUUAUACUUUGGUACCGGACUACCUGAAUUUCUAAUUCAGUGACGGAAGGUCACUGGGUGCAGUCAAGUACUUGCGUAGUCAGAUGUGAGUCGAGAUGGAAUUGACCCCUCCUGAAAACAGGAGAUAAUGUCUUGUGAUUAAUUUAGCAAAACCUUGGCCAGGAUAAUCCCAGUGAGGAGUCACAGGAUAUCUAAAGUUAAUUACAUAAUGGAUGUACUAAUUAUAGGGUUGACAGUGAGCUCUAAGUCAUCCUGGCAUUAGGAGUCAAAGG
rnacentral:lncRNA from 1 species